GGGCGAUUAACUCAGCUGGUAGAGUGCCUCGUUUACACCGAGGAUGUCGGGGGUUCGAGCCCCUCAUCGCCCACCA
rnacentral:tRNA from 1 species